UACGUAGGGGGCAAGCGUUGUCCGGAUUUAUUGGGCGUAAAGAGCGUGUAGGCGGCCAUACAGGUCCGUUGUGAAAACUGGAGGCUUAACCUCCAGACGUCGAUGGAAACCGUAUGGCUAGAGUCCGGAAGAGGAGAGUGGAAUUCCUGGUGUAGCGGUGAAAUGCGCAGAUAUCAGGAAGAACCCCCGUGGCGAAGGCGGCUCUCUGGGACGGUACUGACGCUGAGACGCGAAAGCGUGGGGAGCGAACAGG
rnacentral:rRNA from 1 species